ensembl:lncRNA
CUCACCUAGAGCCAGACAUCCUGGAAUGCGAAGUCAAGUGGGCCCUAGGGAGGAUCACUAUGAACAAAGCUAGUGGGGGUGAUAGAAUUCUAGUUGAGUUAUUUCAAAUCCUAAAAGAUGAUGCUGUGAAAGUGCUGCACUCAAUAUGCCAGCAAAUUUGGAAGACUCAGCAGUGGCCACAGGACUGAAAAAUGUCAGUUUUCAUUCCAAUCCCAAAGAACACCAAAAAAUGUUCAAGCUACCACACAAUUGCACUCAUUUCACAUGCUAGCAAAGUAAUGUUCAAAAUUCUCCAAGCCAGACUUCAACAGUAUGUGAACCAUGAACUUCCAGAUGUUCAAGCUGGAUUUAGAGGAGGCAGAGGAAGCAGAGAUCAAAUUGCCAAUAUCCACUGGAUUUUCAAAAAAGUAAGAGAGUUCCAAAAAAACAUCUACUUCUGCUUUAUUGACUACACCAAAGCCCUUAACUGUGUGGAUCACAGCAACCUGUGGAAAAUUCUGAAAGAGAUGGCAAUACCAGACCACCUGACCUGCCUCUUGAGAAAUCUGUAUGCAGGCCAGGAAGCAACAGUUAGAACUGGACAUGGAAUGACAGACUGGUUCCAAAUUGGGAAAGGAGUACAUCAAGGCUGUACAUUGUCACCUUGCUUAUUUAACUUAUAUGCAGAGUACAUCAUGCAAAAUGCUGGGCUGGAUGAAGCACAGCUGGAAUCAAGUUUGCUGGAAGAAAUAUCAAUAACCUCAGAUAUGCAGAUGACACCACCCUUAUGGCAGAAAGCGAAGAGGAACUAAAGAGCCUCUUGAUGAAAGUGAAAGAAGAGAGUGAAAAAGUUGGCUUAAAGUUCAACAUUCAGAAAACUAAGAUCAUGGCAUUUGGUCCCAUCACUUCUUGGCAAAUAGAUGGGAAAACAAUGGAAACAGUGGCUGACUUUUUUUUUUUUUUUUUUUGGCUCAAAAUCACUGUAGACGGUGACUGCAGCCUUGAAAUUAAAAGAUGCUUGCUCCUUGGAAGAAAAGCUAUGAUCAGACAGCAUAUUAAAAAGCAAAGACAUUGCCAACAAAGGUCCAUUUGGUCAAAGCUAUGGUUUUCCAGUAGUCAUGUAUGGAUGUCAGAGUUGGACCAUAAAGAAAGCUGAGCGCUGAAGAAUCGAUGCUUUUGAACUGUGGUGUUGGAAAAGACUCUUGAGAGUCCCUUGGACUGCAAGGAGAUCCAGCCAGUCCAUCCUAAAGCAGAUCAGUCCUGAAUAUUCAUUGGAAGGACUGAUGCUGCAGCUGAAACUCCAAUACUUUGGCCACCUGAUAUGAAGAACUGACUCAUUAGGAAAGACCCUGAUGCUGGGAAAGAUUGAAAGUUCUCAGACCCUCAGCCCACCUGAGCUGCUCCUUCUGGGAAGCGAGCGUACCCUGGCUGAUAGCAUCACGGCAACGAGGCCCCCAUGUCGCCUUGGAUCAGCUUUGAUUGACUUCCCACUUUGGAGCUAUUCUCGGAGAACAAGAUGGCAGAGGAGUAGGUGGAUGUGGAGUACAUCUCUCUCCACGGAUACAUCAGGAAUACACCUUCAGACACAGAAGUGCAUGUAGAACAGUUGAGAGUAGACAGGAGGGCCUGACCAGUGGAGAAGAAUAUAUAGAACCAGGCAAACUCAGGAGGACAAAGAACUAGGGGGGAAAACAGGAGUAUUGGUAGGACUGGGACUACCCCUGGUGGGCGGGGGAACUGAAGCAGGGGUCCGAUCCCCACAUCGAGGCAAUUGUCUGAGUCAGAGGAGAAACAUUUAAGGCUGAGAAUGAAACAGCUGAUCGGUGGUAGCCUAAAUGGAAUGAGGAUCAGACAGUCCUUGCCACAGCCGUACACACCCCAGACAGGAACGGGGGUCUCCUGGAAGGGGCAGCGGCUGGGACCUGGAAUUUUGGGAUUGUGACAAUCCCAGUGAGAGGGCUGCUGUUGACUGCAGAAAGACGGAUCAGCGAUGUGAGCUAGGAGAUCGUGGUGGGAGAUGCCUGUGGAGGAAAGCCAGGCAGCCGUGGAAGCAAGGCGAUACUGCUGAGUCAUGUGUAGGGGACGGAGCCAUAGCCUCUACCUUCACACACACCAGCAUUGGCAGCUGAACAACAGAGAGACUGGCCCAUCAAACACCUGACGCACUGAACUACAGAGUAGGAUCCCACCCAAGGAGCUCCUUUAAGUGCCUGACCUGCCAAACAAGAAGGACCCCAAGCAAGGGAGCCCUCUGAGUGCCUGAACCUGCAGAGCUACAGAGAAAGACUGGCCAAAGAGGCCUUCUGAUCACCAGCUACAAGAGGCUCGAAAAACGACUCUAAUAGGGCCGUAACUCCCUGAACACUUGGCGCUGCCAGGGUCCCUGCAAGCCAAGCAGCUGCAACACCUUCAUGCUCAACUCUCAGUGAGGCAGAGCUGCCGCAGGCAAAAAAAAAAAAAGUCUUCUGUUUAUGCUCAUAGGGUCACUUCGGUCAAACUCCUUGCGACCCUGUAGACUGUGGCCUGCCAGGCUUCUCUGUCAGAGAGGGGGUUCUCCAGGCAAGAAUACUGGAGCGUAUUGACCAAUACUGGUUGCAUACCCUUCUAGAGCACUAUAUUUUCUGCUGCCCUAGCCACCAACCCCCCUGAGUACCUGGUGUUGCCAGAACCCCUGCGACCCAAGCAGCUGCACCACCUCCAUACCUGGCCCUAGGGGCAAACCCAAGCCCUCCAGGGCAGCCUCAGGAGCUAAACCCCAACAGAUGACCCACAUGUAGAGGUGGAAAUAAAACCACAAUUGAAACCCAGGGGGCAGUGUGGCUAAGGAAGAAGACCCCAAACCUUCCCACCAGCUGUACAAGGGGCAGAUUAAAUCCACACGAUCAACUAAGCAGACUCUGCAUCUGUGGAAUAUACAAAAGGCCGCUGAGAGCUCCCACAAAAGAAGACGCACUAGCUCUGAUGGCUGUGGAUGUUGGAGGCAAGAACACGCAGGAGUAGGACCAGAUUAGAAUCUGAGCUGCCCCCACAGCAGGUCCAGAGAUCAGCACAGUGUUGGAGGGCAUCCUAGGGAGGAGACACAGUUGGAUUCCUGGUCGUGGUCAGAGAAGAUUCCACACGCCACAGGGCAGCUCAGCCCUUGCACCAAAACUACUGAGCCGGAGUUCUAGAGCGUGAGCUCUGCAACAAGAGAAGCCACUGCAAUGAGAAGC